rnacentral:rRNA from 1 species
CCUACGGGAGGCUGCAGUGGGGAAUAUUGGACAAUGGGGGGAACCCUGAUCCAGCCAUGCCGCGUGUGUGAAGAAGGCCCUCGGGUUGUAAAGCACUUUCAGUGAGGAAGACCGCCUGGUGGUUAAUACCCAUCAGGAAAGACAUCACUCACAGAAGAAGCACCGGCUAACUCCGUGCCAGCAGCCGCGGUAAUACGGAGGGUGCGAGCGUUAAUCGGAAUUACUGGGCGUAAAGCGCGCGUAGGUGGCUUGAUAAGCCGGUUGUGAAAGCCCCGGGCUCAACCUGGGAACGGCAUCCGGAACUGUCAAGCUAGAGUGCAGGAGAGGAAGGUAGAAUUCCCGGUGUAGCGGUGAAAUGCGUAGAGAUCGGGAGGAAUACCAGUGGCGAAGGCGGCCUUCUGGACUGACACUGACACUGAGGUGCGAAAGCGUGGGUAGCAAACAGGAUUAGAUACCCCUGUAGUC